AUUUAUAUAGUAUAAUAAGUAUAUGUGACUUCCAAUUACAACGUCUAAUAAUAAUUAGUAUAAAUA
rnacentral:tRNA from 1 species